rnacentral:rRNA from 1 species
ACUCCUACGGGAGGCAGCAGUGGGGAAUAUUGGACAAUGGGCGGAAGCCUGAUCCAGCCAUGCCGCGUGUGUGAAGAAGGCCUUAUGGUUGUAAAGCACUUUAAGCGAGGAGGAGGCUACUCUAGUUAAUACCUAGAGAUAGUGGACGUUACUCGCAGAAUAAGCACCGGCUAACUCUGUGCCAGCAGCCGCGGUAAUACAGAGGGUGCGAGCGUUAAUCGGAUUUACUGGGCGUAAAGCGUGCGUAGGCGGCUGAUUAAGUCGGAUGUGAAAUCCCUGAGCUUAACUUAGGAAUUGCAUUCGAUACUGGUCAGCUAGAGUAUGGGAGAGGAUGGUAGAAUUCCAGGUGUAGCGGUGAAAUGCGUAGAGAUCUGGAGGAAUACCGAUGGCGAAGGCAGCCAUCUGGCCUAAUACUGACGCUGAGGUACGAAAGCAUGGGAGCAAACAGGAUUAGAUACCCCGUGGUAGCGACUGAUA